CAACGAAUCUUCCGCAAUGCGCGAAAGCGUGACGGAGCAAUGCCGCGUGCAGGAUGAAGCCCCUCGGGGUGUAAACUGCUGUCAGGGUUCAGCAACACAAUGAGCAGACCCAAAGGAAGGGCCGGCUAACUUCGUGCCAGCAGCCGCGGUAAUACGAAGGGCCCGAGCGUUGCGCGGAAUCAUUGGGCUUAAAGCGUGCGUAGGCGGACUCGUAAGCACCUUGUGAAAUCCCUCGGCUCAACCGAGGAACUGCUUGGUGAACUGUGAGUCUUGAGGCAAGUAGGGGCUGUCGGAACGAUAGGUGGAGCGGUGAAAUGCGUUGAUAUCUAUCGGAACGCCAAAGGCGAAGGCAGGCAGCUGGGCUUGUUCUGACGCUCAGGCACGAAAGCGUGGGGAGCGAACGGGAUUAGAUACCCCCGUAGUCC
rnacentral:rRNA from 1 species